UGACCUCGGAUCAGGUAGGAAGACCCGCUGAACUUAAGCAUAUCAAUAAGCGGAGGAAAAGAAACCAACAGGGAUUGCCCUAGUAACGGCGAGUGAAGCGGCAACAGCUCAAAUUUGAAAUCUGGCUUCGGCCCGAGUUGUAAUUUGCAGAGGAAGCUUUAGGCGCGGCACCUUCUGAGUCCCCUGGAACGGGGCGCCAUAGAGGGUGAGAGCCCCGUAUAGUUGGAUGCCUAGCCUGUGUAAAGCUCCUUCGACGAGUCGAGUAGUUUGGGAAUGCUGCUCAAAAUGGGAGGUAAAUUUCUUCUAAAGCUAAAUACCGGCCAGAGACCGAUAGCGCACAAGUAGAGUGAUCGAAAGAUGAAAAGCACUUUGAAAAGAGGGUUAAAUAGCACGUGAAAUUGUUGAAAGGGAAGCGCUUGUGACCAGACUUGCGCCGGGCGGAUCAUCCGGUGUUCUCACCGGUGCACUCCGCCCGGCUCAGGCCAGCAUCGGUUCUCGCGGGGGGAUAAAGGUCCUGGGAACGUAGCUCCUCCGGGAGUGUUAUAGCCCGGGGCGUAAUGCCCUCGCGGGGACCGAGGUUCGCGCAUCUGCAAGGAUGCUGGCGUAAUGGUCAUCAGCGACCCGUCUUGAAACACGGACCAAGGAGUCAAGGUUUUGCGCGAGUGUUUGGGUGUAAAACCCGCACGCGUAAUGAAAGUGAACGUAGGUGAGAGCUUCGGCGCAUCAUCGACCGAUCCUGAUGUUUUCGGAUGGAUUUGAGUAGGAGCGUUAAGCCUUGGACCCGAAAGAAUGGUGAACUAUGCUUGGAUAGGGUGAAGCCAGAGGAAACUCUGGUGGAAGGCUCGCAGCCGGUUCUGACGUGCAAAUCGAUCGUCAAAUCUGAGCAUGGGGGCGAAAAGACUAAUCGAAACCAUCUAGUAGCUGGUUACCGCCGAAGUUUCCCUCAGGAUAGCAGUGUUGUCUUCAGUUUUAUGAGGUAAAAGCGAAUGAUUAGGGACUCGGGGGCGCUUUUUAGCCUUCAUCCAUUCUCAAACUUUAAAUAUGUAAGAAGCCCUUGUUACUUAAUUGAACGUGGGCAUUCGAAUGUACCAACACUAGUGGGCCAUUUUUGGUAAGCAGAACUGGCGAUGCGGGAUGAACCGAACGCGGGGUUAAGGUGCCGGAGUGGACGCUCAUCAGACACCACAAAAGGCGUUAGUACAUCUUGACAGCAGGACGGUGGCCAUGGAAGUCGGAAUCCGCUAAGGACUGUGUAACAACUCACCUGCCGAAUGUACUAGCCCUGAAAAUGGAUGGCGCUCAAGCGUCCCACCCAUACCCCGCCCUCAGGGUAGAAACGAUGCCCUGAGGAGUAGGCGGCCGUGGAGGUCAGUGACGAAGCCUAGGGCGUGAGCCCGGGUCGAACGGCCUCUAGUGCAGAUCUUGGUGGUAGUAGCAAAUACUUCAAUGAGAACUUGAAGGACCGAAGUGGGGGAAAGGUUCCAUGUGAACAGCGGUUGGACAUGGGUUAGUCGAUCGCCUAAGCCAUAGGGAAGUUCCGUUUCAAAGGGGCACUCGUGCCCCGUGUGGCGAAAGGGAAGCCGGUUAACAUUCCGGCACCUGGAUGUGGGUUUUGCGCGGUAACGCAACUGAACACGGAGACGACGGCGGGGGCCCCGGGCAGAGUUCUCUUUACUUCUUAACGGUCCAUCACCCUGAAAACAGUUUGUCUGGAGAUAGGGUUAACGGCCGGAAGAGCCCGACACUUCUGUCGGGAGCGGGGCGCUCUCGACGUCCCUUGAGAAUCCCUGGGAGGGAAUAAUUCUCGCGCCAGGUCGUACUCAUAACCGCAGCAGGGCUCCCAAG
rnacentral:ncRNA from 1 species